AACUGCCUUUUUAACCUGUACAGUCGCAGCAUUCUGACUCCCUUUCCCUCUCUAAGUAGCUUUAGAAGAGUUUCUACCCCCUUUGUAUGAUCACAUGGUUGUUUUUGUACCAUCACCUGUCGGUGUCCCACGUGCUGGAGGGUUUGGCUGUCCUGGGCUGCUCCCAGAGGAUGCAGUCAGCACUCAAAUACUGGAAGGCUGGUACUGGGAAGUUCUAUGAAUGGAACGUUGUAAAUGCCUGUCGGAAAUAAAAUACUGGAGGAAAAAAAAAAAGCUAACUGCAGAGAGUGGUGUGUGGAGCCUGUCACAGGAGGGCUGUGAGGUGGGAAGGGUGAGAGCAGGGAGGAGGUCCUGCAUUCCCAGCUGGUGCAGCUCGGGAAGGAGCCCUCAGGAUUAUUUUUGGCUUGUGAGGCUCCCAGGCUAAUCCAGA
rnacentral:lncRNA from 1 species